rnacentral:rRNA from 1 species
AACGAACGCUGGCGGCAUGCCUAACACAUGCAAGUCGAACGAGACCUUCGGGACUAGUGGCGCACGGGGGCGUAACGCGUGGGAAGCUGCACUUAGGUUCGGAAUACCUCCCCGAAAGGGGUGCUAAUACCGGAGAAUGUCUUAGGACCAAGGAUUUAUCGCCGUUGUAUGGGCCCUGGUGGGAUUAGCUGGUUAGUAGGGUAAAAGCCUACCAAGGCGCCGCUCCAUAGCUGGUCUGAGAGACUGAUUAUCCACACCGGGACUGAGACACGGCCCAGACUCCUACGGAAGGCAGCAGUGGGGAAUAUUGGACGAUGGGCGAAGGCCUGAUCCAGCAAUGCCGCGUGAGUGAUGAAGGCCUUAGGGUUGUAAAGCUCUUUUACCCGGGAUGAUAAUGACAGUACCGGGAGAAUAAGCUCCGGCUAACUCCGUG